AGUGCUUCCCGCAAGAUUAGAUUAACAGUGUCUCCAAAAAUGGUUACCAUACUUUAAGAAAUUUUAAGCUUAUUUCAGAACUAUAAAUCUAGAAGACUUACAGGGAACUAGUGAUAAAUCUCUUGGCUUGUUUUCCCCUUUAUUAUUUUGGAUCUGUGUACAAUCUGAAAUAGCAAAUGACAUACAGUUUGGGAGACAGUUCAUUUGUAACUUCAACGGAUCUGAGGAAUACAGUCACUUCAUGCACCCCUGCAGAUCUUUCCAUUUAAAGUAGUUUAUUGCUGGAAAGAAAGCGAAUGGAGGGAGUUUCAGUAAGGAACUGAAUGGGUUAAUGAUUGAACAUGAUGAUUGAAAACAAGCGUCUAUGGUUGAUUGGGACACAAUUAUGAGGAGAAAGCAUUAUAUAUAAAUAGUAAAGUAAUGGUAUGUUACUGAAAUCUAAGAAAAGUAGAAUGAGACAAAAUAUCUCUAGUGUUUUAAUGUUCCGUUUGAUAGUACUUUGGAUAAGUUUCAUAAGGGAGAUGGUUGAGAUCACUAAUCCUUAGUACAUGAACCAAGAAAUAGAAAUUGUGUUUAUCAUAGAAAGUAAUUUUGGCCCAUAAAGUAGUAGAGACUCUUUAAUAGAGGAAUGUUUUUGUCUGUAAUCUCUCUGAUUCAAUGCCAAAUAUUUUUCAGAGAAUAUUCAAAGCUGUGCCUAAGUUUCAUUGUUGAAAACUGACAGCUGCUAUAUUUCUUUUUGAUAACUGAUUGAAGCUCUUUCUGUUAUGCCUUCUCUGUUGCUAAAUUCCUUAAGUUUAAAUAAGUGUUUAAAGUAAGAACUUUAUGAAACUAAAAAAAAUAUAUAAUAAAGUAAGAACUUUAUGAAACUAAAGCUUUAUUCUGUAGAUUGGAUAAUACUUCUUUUGUGACAUUUUCUUUUCCCACCGAAAGUGAGAAGUGAAUGCCUUGCCUUGGUACAUCCCAUUUCUAAUGGAGGACAAGAAGUCAUUUUCUUCAAUGGCUGACUUCCAGAAUUUCUGCCUGAACGUUCUUUGUCAAGUGUAUAUUCCCUUCUCUAGGCCUUUCUAUAUAGAGCCCACAAACAUCGUCAAUGUGAAUGAUGUCAUUCAGAGGGUUAGCGACCAUGCCUCUGCCAUGAACAAGAGGAUUCAUUACUACAACCGGCUCACCGCUCCUGCAGACAGGGCGCUGAUUGCCCCAGAUCAUGUAGUUCCAGGUCCAGAAGAGUGCUAUGUGUAUAGCCCGUUGGGUUCUGCUUAUAAACUUCAAAGUUACACUGAAGGAUAUGGUAAAAACACCAGUUUAGUAACCAUUUUUAUGAUUUGGAAUACCAUGCUGGGAACAUCUAUACUAAGUAUUCCUUGGGGCAUAAAACAGGCUGGGUUUACUACUGGAAUGUGUGUCAUCAUGCUGAUGGGCCUUCUAACACUUUACUGCUGCUACAGAGUAGUGAAAUCAAGAUCUAUGAUAUCAUCAGUGGAUACCACUACCUGGGAAUAUCCAGAUGUCUGCAGAUAUUAUUUUGGCUCCUUUGGGCAGUGGUCAAGUCUCCUGUUCUCCUUGGUAUCUCUCAUUGGAGCAAUGAUAGUAUAUUGGGUGCUGAUGUCUAAUUUUCUUUUUAAUACUGGAAAAUUUAUUUUUAAUUUUAUUCAUCACAUUAAUGACACAGACCCUAUACCGAGUACCAACGAUAGCAACCCUGUGAUUUGUCCAAGUGCCAGGAGCGGCGGCCAUCCUGACAACGGCUCUAUGAUCUUCUAUGCCAGUGACUCGGGACUCCAACAGUUUGAAAAGUGGUGGAAUAAGUCCAAGACAGUGCCCUUUUACCUCAUAGGGCUCCUUCUGCCACUGCUUAAUUUCAAAUCUCCUUCAUUUUUUUCAAAAUUUAACAUCCUAGGCACAGUGUCCGUUCUCUACUUGAUUUUUCUCGUCACUUGGAAGGCUAUUCGCUUGGGAUUUCAUUUGGAGUUUCAUUGGUUUACACCAACAGAAUUUUUUGUCCCAGAGAUAAGAUUUAAUUUUCCACAACUGACUGGGGUGCUUACGCUUGCUUUCUUUAUUCAUAAUUGUAUUAUCACACUCUUGAAGAAUAACAAGAACCAAGAAAACAAUGUGAGGGACUUGUCCAUUGCUUAUAUGCUGGUGACAUUAACUUAUCUCUAUAUUGGAAUCCUGGUUUUUGCUUCAUUUCCUUCACCACCAUUAUCCAAAGAUUGUAUAGAGCAGAAUUUUUUAGACAACUUCCCUAGCAGUGACAUCCUGUCCUUCAUUGCAAGGAUAUUCCUGCUGUUCCAGAUGAUGACUGUGUAUCCACUCCUAGGCUACUUGGCUCGCGUUCAGCUAUUGGGUCAUGUCUUCGGUGACAUUUAUCCUAGGUAAGGGCUCUUCUCUUGACCAGCAAGAUGUGCCAAGCAACAAAUGACUGUGCAAACAGCAUUUUCCACGUGUUGAUUUUUAAUCUGUUCAUUGUGGGAGCUGGAGUGAUCAUGGCCUGUUUCUACCCAAACAUAGGAGGAAUCAUA